rnacentral:rRNA from 1 species
GACGGAGGAUGCAAGCGUUAUCCGGAAUUACUGGGCGUAAAGCGUGCGCAGGCGGUUUUGUAAGUCUGUCGUGAAAGCCCCGGGCUCAACCUGGGAAUUGCGAUGGAGACUGCAAGGCUUGAAUCUGGCAGAGGGGGGUAGAAUUCCACGUGUAGCAGUGAAAUGCGUAGAGAUGUGGAGGAACACCGAUGGCGAAGGCAGCCCCCUGGGUCAAGAUUGACGCUCAUGCACGAAAGCGUGGGGAGCAAACAGG